GGAUAUCUCUACAUUGACAUGGCUGUCGUGGAACUUACUAUGUAGACCAGGCUGUGCUGUGGGAUGUCCAGUAUGUUGUGAAUAUAUGUUGCUAUGAUUGAUUGAUAUAUGAAACACUGAUUGACCAGUAGCCAUGCAGGAAGUAUAGGAUAAGUGAGACAAACAGAGAAGAGAGGCUGGGAGGUGGAAGCCGGGAAGAGACGCUGCCAACCACCCUGAUGAGGAGCAGGAUGUAAAGUACUGUUAAGCAUGGAUGACAAAUGUUACGAAAAAGAGGCAAUCAGUGAGAUGAAGACACAACCAGAGUCAUCACCAAAAUAACACUGCAGAGACAGACAGAUGAAGACUAAAAACAUGCAGCGUUUGUUCUCUAUGACAUCACUUCUCGCACUUGCUCUGAAGAACAGAAUCUGCACUGAGAAGAGAAGUUUUCCUUCCCCUUCUUCAGAAAGCAGCUACUAGAUUUGCUACCCAUUCAUGUAUGUUCCCCUGACCAUACUGCGUUGUGUCCCUAAUCUGUAACCGAGUUUUAUUUACAGUAUAUUAUAUAAAAUAAAGUAUAUUUAAUGUGA